CGUAAAGAACCUGCCUCAUAGACUGGGACAACAUUGGAAACGAUAGCUAAUACCGGAUAACAGUAUUUCUCGCAUGAGAGAUAUUUAAAAGUUGGUUAUGCUAACACUAUGAGAUGGCUUUGCGGUGCAUUAGCUAGUUGGUGGGGUAAAGGCCCACCAAGGCGACGAUGCAUAGCCGACCUGAGAGGGUGAUCGGCCACACUGGGACUGAGACACGGCCCAG
rnacentral:rRNA from 1 species